GACGAACCACACAAACGUUAUUCGGAAUUACUGGGCUUAAAGGGUGCGUAGGCGGCGCAGAAAGUAGGGUGUGAAAUCCCUCGGCUCAACCGAGGAACUGCGCCCUAAACUACUGUGCUCGAGGGAGGUAGAGGUGAGCGGAACUUAGGGUGGAGCGGUGAAAUGCGUUGAUAUCGGAAGGAACAUCAGUGGCGAAGGCGACUUCCUGGACCAAUACUGACGCUCAGGUGCGAAAGCGUGGGGAGCAAACAGG
rnacentral:rRNA from 1 species